UUCCAUCGCUAAGUCAAGGCUUCUUCCCGCGACACGUGUCGUGCUUUGUUUACAAUGGAGGUCUGUCUGUUACAGCUUUGGUAGAUUAACACUGUCCCGCACCGAAUUUCUUUCUGAAGCUAGGUUGACUUGUUUUCGUCUUGAAAACAUGUCGCAAGGGACAGAUGUGUUUUGUUUUUGAGUUGAACUUUGCUUCUGCCUUUUUGGUGGCUUAGUGGCAGAGUUCUUAGUAACAUCCCACACAUUU
rfam:Penicillium antarcticum strain IBT 31811 PENANT_contig013, whole genome shotgun sequence.